rnacentral:rRNA from 1 species
UACGUAGGGUGCAAGCGUUAAUCGGAAUUACUGGGCGUAAAGCGUGCGCAGGCGGUUUGCUAAGACCGAUGUGAAAUCCCCGGGCUUAACCUGGGAACUGCCUUGGUGACUGGCAAGCUAGAGUGUGGCAGAGGGGGGUAGAAUUCCACGUGUAGCAGUGAAAUGCGUAGAGAUGUGGAGGAAUACCGAUGGCGAAGGCAGCCCCCUGGGCCAACACUGACGCUCAUGCACGAAAGCGUGGGGAGCAAACAGG